rnacentral:rRNA from 1 species
CAUAAUAACCUCCGUAAACUGAGUAUAAUGAUCCAUAGUUCUCAACGCUUGGAACGGUGAGUGGACGAAAGCUCCGGCGGCCAUAGGAUGGGCCUCCGGUGUAUCAGGUCUGUAGGGGUUGUAACGGUACCCUUUAGCCAUCAACCGCGCACGGGUGUUGGGAGACAUAGCCCGGAGAUGGAUUCUGAGACACGAAUCCAGACCCUACGGGGUGCAGCAGGCGUGAAAACUUGGCAAUGCGAGAAAUCGUGACCAGGGAACUCCAAGUGGCUGGGGUAAGACCCAGUCUUUUCUUGACUCUUCAAAGGUCUUGGAAUAAGGGGUGGGUAAGGACGGUGCCAGCCGCCGCGGUAAUACCGGCGCCUCAAGUGGUAGUCGAUUUUAUUGGGCCUAAAACGUCCGUCGCCUGUUUGGUACAUUCGUGGGUAAAUCAAUCAGCUCAACUGAUUGAAUUCUGCGAGCACGGCCAGACUUGGGACCGGGAGAGGUGUGGGGUACGUUCAGGGUAGGGGUAAAAUCCUGUCAUCCUAAACGGACCACCUGUUGCGAAGGCUCCACACUAGAACGGAUCCGACGGUCAGGGACGAAGCCUAGGGGCACGAACCGGAUUAGAUACCCGGGUAGUCCUAGGUGUAAACGCUGUGGACUUGGUGUUGGGGACUCUCCGAGAUUCCUCAGUGCCGAAGCGAAGGUGAUAAGUCCACUGCCUGGGGAGUACGGUCGCAAGGCUGAAACUUAAAGGAAUUGGCGGGGGAGCACCGCAACCUGGAGGAUUGUG